CCGCCAGCUAAGGCCCCAAAAUCAUAGUUAAGUGGGAAACGAUGUGGGAAGGCAUAGACAGCUAGGAGGUUGGCUUAGAAGCAGCCACCCUUUAAAGAAAGCGUAAUAGCUCACUAGUCGAGUCGGCCUGCGCGGAAGAUGUAACGGGGCUAAAACUAUGUGCCGAAGCUGCGGAUGUAUACUUUGUAUACGUGGUAGGGGAGCGUUCUGUAAGCCGAUGAAGGUGUGUUGAGAAGCAUGCUGGAGGUAUCAGAAGUGCGAAUGCUGACGUGAGUAACGACAAAACGGGUGAAAAACCCGUUCGCCGAAAGACCAAGGGUUCCAGUCCAACGUUAAUCGGGGCUGGGUGAGUCGACCCCUAAGGCGAGGCCGAAAGGCGUAGUCGAUGGGAAAAUGGUUAAUAUUCCAUUACUUCUGUGUAAUGCGAUGAGAGGACGGAGAAGGCUAAAUCAGCCUGGCGUUGGUUGUCCAGGUGAAAGGAUGUAGGCAUGUAUCUUAGGCAAAUCCGGGGUACUCUAUGCUGAGAUCUGAUAGCAAGCUGUACUUGUACAGCGAAGUGGUUGAUGCCAUGCUUCCAGGAAAAGUCUCUAAGCUUCAGUUACACAGGAAUCGUACCCGAAACCGACACAGGUGGUCAGGUCGAGUAGACCAAGGCGCUUGAGAGAACUCUGCUGAAGGAACUAGGCAAAAUGGUACCGUAACUUCGGGAGAAGGUACGCUGUUGUUGGUGAUGGAACUCGCUUCCUGAGCUGACGACAGCCGCAGAAACCAGGCCGCUGCAACUGUUUAUUAAAAACAUAGCACUCUGCAAACACGAAAGUGGACGUAUAGGGUGUGAUGCCUGCCCGGUGCUGGAAGGUUAAUUGAUGGGGUUAGCGUAAGCGAAGCUCUUGAUCGAAGCCCCAGUAAACGGCGGCCGUAACUAUAACGGUCCUAAGGUAGCGAAAUUCCUUGUCGGGUAAGUUCCGACCUGCACGAAUGGCAUAAUGAUGGCGGCGCUGUCUCCAGCAGAGGCUCAGUGAAAUCGAAAUCGCUGUGAAGAUGCAGUGUACCCGCGGCUAGACGGAAAGACCCCGUGAACCUUUACUGCAGCUUGACACUGAACUUUGACCUUACUUGUGUAGGAUAGGUGGGAGGCUUUGAAGCUGGAACGCUAGUUCCAGUGGAGCCGUCCUUGAAAUACCACCCUGGUAAUGUUGAGGUUCUAACUCUGUCCCGUGAUCCGGGACGAGGACCGUGUCUGGUGGGUAGUUUGACUGGGGCGGUCUCCUCCUAAAGAGUAACGGAGGAGUACGAAGGUGCGCUCAGCGUGGUCGGAAAUCACGCGUAGAGUAUAAAGGCAAAAGCGCGCUUAACUGCGAGACCCACAAGUCGAGCAGGUACGAAAGUAGGUCUUAGUGAUCCGGUGGUUCUGUAUGGAAGGGCCAUCGCUCAACGGAUAAAAGGUACUCUGGGGAUAACAGGCUGAUACCGCCCAAGAGUUCAUAUCGACGGCGGUGUUUGGCACCUCGAUGUCGGCUCAUCUCAUCCUGGGGCUGAAGCAGGUCCCAAGGGUAUGGCUGUUCGCCAUUUAAAGAGGUACGCGAGCUGGGUUUAGAACGUCGUGAGACAGUUCGGUCCCUAUCUACCGUGGGCGCUGGAAAUUUGAGAGGAUCUGCUCCUAGUACGAGAGGACCAGAGUGGACGAACCUCUGGUGUACCGGUUGUGACGCCAGUCGCAUCGCCGGGUAGCUAUGUUCGGAAGGGAUAACCGCUGAAAGCAUCUAAGCGGGAAGCCUACCUCAAGAUAAGAUUUCCCUAGGACUUUAUGUCCUCUAAAGAGCCGUUCGAGACUAGGACGUUGAUAGGUUGGAUGUGGAAGCAUAGUGAUAUGUGAAGCUGACCAAUACUAAUUGCUCGUGAGGCUUGACU
rnacentral:rRNA from 1 species